GGGGCUGUAAAGGUUUCGACGUGUCGGCGAAAGCUGCCCCGUGAUACAGGCCGAGAGUGAGUCUCCUCUCGCUAAUCAAAGGCUCAAAAAAAAGUAAAUGCGAACAACAUCGUUCCUUUUGCUCGUAAAGCUGCCACUGUUGCUGCUUAAUAACCGAUAACAAGGUUCGAGCGUCUGUAGUCUGACUCCGUUAAGGACUACGGACAAACCCCAACGGAUGCUCUAGCAAGGUUUCUCUGGUUGAUUGCUAGCUAAGAUUCAACCACUGCAUCCUGUCAUCCGGGAUAAUGGAUGGUUCCCGCCCAAAGGGUCAGAUGGGCUAAGCCUGUGAAGGAGCGGAAAGUAAAUACCCGUCGCGGACAUCCGUUCAAUUCGGAUCAGCUCCACUU
rnacentral:tmRNA from 2 species